rnacentral:rRNA from 1 species
UACAGAGGGUGCGAGCGUUAAUCGGAAUUACUGGGCGUAAAGGGCGCGUAGGCGGGGAUACGAGUGUGAUGUGAAAGCCCUGGGCUUAACCUGGGAAGUGCAUUGCAAACUGUAUGAUCUGGAGUAUAUGAGAGGGUGGUGGAAUUUCCGGUGUAGCGGUGAAAUGCGUAGAGAUCGGAAGGAACGUCAAUGGCGAAGGCAGCCACCUGGCAUAAUACUGACGCUGAGGCGCGAAAGCGUGGGGAGCGAACAGG